UACAGAGGGUGCAAGCGUUGUUCGGAAUUAUUGGGCGUAAAGGGAGUGUAGGCGGUUGGGAAAGUCUUCUGUGAAAUCUACGGGCUCAGCCUGUAAAGUGCAGAGGAAACUACUCGGCUUGAGUGUCGGAGAGGAUAGGGGAAUACCCGGUGUAGAGGUGAAAUUCGUAGAGAUCGGGUGGAACACCAGUGGCGAAGGCGCCUAUCUGGCUGACAACUGACGCUGAGACUCGAAAGCGUGGGGAGCGAACAGG
rnacentral:rRNA from 1 species